UUCCCCCAAAUGGGGUUGGGGGAACAUAUAUUCUUCAAAGAUAAAAAGUCUACCGAGACACUUGAUGCAUUAUGGAUGUCAAUACAAAUACAUACUUUAGACCAUUCAUGCUUCAUUUCAUUUUUCUUUUUUUGCGCGUGCAGGACCUUGGCACGCUGGGCACUGUGCGCAGGGCAUACCUGUGCAGACCUGCUGUGUGGAUGGCGUGUG
rnacentral:lncRNA from 1 species